rnacentral:rRNA from 1 species
UACGUAGGGUGCGAGCGUUGUCCGGAAUUACUGGGCGUAAAGAGCUCGUAGGUGGUUUGUCGCGUUGUCCGUGAAAACUCACAACUCAAUUGUGGGCGUGCGGGCGAUACGGGCAGACUGGAGUACUGCAGGGGAGACUGGAAUUCCUGGUGUAGCGGUGGAAUGCGCAGAUACCAGGAGGAACACCGGUGGCGAAGGCGGGUCUCUGGGCAGUAACUGACGCUGAGGAGCGAAAGCGUGGGGAGCGAACAGG